CCUACGGGAGGCAGCAGUGAGGAAUAUUGGACAAUGGGCGCAAGCCUGAUCCAGCCAUGCCGCGUGCAGGAUGACGGUCCUAUGGAUUGUAAACUGCUUUUGCACAGGAGGAAACAACUCUACGUGUAGAGUCUUGACGGUACUGUGAGAAUAAGGAUCGGCUAACUCCGUGCCAGCAGCCGCGGUAAUACGGAGGAUCCAAGCGUUAUCCGGAAUCAUUGGGUUUAAAGGGUCCGUAGGCGGUUUAGUAAGUCAGUGGUGAAAGCCCAUCGCUCAACGGUGGAACGGCCAUUGAUACUGCUAGACUUGAAUUAUUAGGAAGUAACUAGAAUAUGUAGUGUAGCGGUGAAAUGCUUAGAGACUACAUGGAAUACCAAUUGCGAAGGCAGGUUACUACUAAUGGAUUGACGCUGAUGGACGAAAGCGUGGGUAGCGAACAGGAUUAGAUACCCUGGUAGUCCACGCCGUAAACGAUGGAUACUAGCUGUUGGGCGCAAGUUCAGUGCUAAGCGAAAGUGAUAAGUAUCCCACCGUGGUAGGUAGUUCGUUCGAGAAGUUAGAACGACAANAGAGUUAGACGGCGNGAGAGNGCGACGGCGACGACGAGGGAGGAGG
rnacentral:rRNA from 1 species